rnacentral:piRNA from 1 species
UGCUUAGAAAGAUGCUGGAUCAAUAGCGU